GUCUGUGGCCACACCACCCUGAAUGUGCCUGAUCUCAUCUGAUCUGAAGCUAAGCAGUGUCAGGCUUGAUGAGUACUUUGCUAUGAUACAAAUA
rnacentral:rRNA from 1 species